AACAGGAUAUAAGUAAAGUGCUAAAGAAAUUUGGGAGUAACAUCAUAUUCUCAAAUGGAUUGCUGGAUCCUUGGAGUGGUGGCGGUGUCCUUCAAAACAUAUCUCAUAGCAUAGUUGCCCUUGUUACCGAACUGGGUGCACAUCAUAUCGAUUUGCGUGCUUCGAUGAAGGACGAUCCGGAAUGGUUGGUCGAGCUCAGGGAAAUGGAGAUUAAGCUAAUCAAGGGCUGGAUAGAUGACUAUUUUCAGGAGAGGGCUUCUUAUAGCCUAUAGGAUUACUUCAUGAGGCAUUUUGGCUUCUAUUCUCCCUAAUUCUGAGAAGUAAUGUAUGUAUAAUUGACAAGGAUUGAUGUAUAUCACUGUAAAACAUUAGGGAGAUUAGAAGAGGGACCGUUUCUGUGUGAUAUUAUAUUUUAUCACUAGUCUUAUCCCA